rnacentral:rRNA from 1 species
UACAGAGGGUGCAAGCGUUAAUCGGAAUUACUGGGCGUAAAGCGCGCGUAGGUGGUUUGUUAAGUUGGAUGUGAAAUCCCCGGGCUCAACCUGGGAACUGCAUUCAAAACUGACAAGCUAGAGUAUGGUAGAGGGUGGUGGAAUUUCCUGUGUAGCGGUGAAAUGCGUAGAUAUAGGAAGGAACACCAGAGGCGAAGGCGGUUACCUGGACAAUUACUGACGCUCAGGCACGAAAGCGUGGGGAGCAAAAGGG